AGAGAGAGUAAGCCAGCAGCCAAAAAAGCCAUCCAAACGAGAGCGUCUCUCUCUUUAAAGCCCUCCCUCUAAUUGUGGUUCUCUCUCUCUAUCUCUCUAUUUUGUGCGUUUUCUUUUAUCGUGCGCUUCUCACACAAUCUCAUCCUCUCGUAGAUUCGUCGCCUUCUGGAUCUCCCAACUGCUGCAAUCAUGAGUGAUGAGGGAGAAAAGACUUGUCCUCUCUGUGCUGAAGAGAUGGACUAUACUGAUCAACAGCUGAAGCCAUGCAAAUGUGGUUAUGAGAUAUGCGUUUGGUGUUGGCAUCAUAUAAUGGACAUGGCUGAGAAGGAAGAUACAGAGGGGCGUUGUCCUGCAUGUCGUACGGCUUAUGACAAGGAAAAGAUAGUAGGGACGGCUGCAAAUUGUGAAAGAUUGGUGGCUGAAAUCAAUAUGGAGAGAAAAGCUAAGUCACAAAAGUCUAAGGGAAAAACAUCAGAAGGACGGAAACAGCUUAGUAGCGUGCGCGUUAUUCAAAGAAACCUUGUCUACAUAGUUGGGUUGCCUCUUAAUCUGGCAGAUGAAGAACUUCUCCAGCGUAGAGAAUAUUUUGGUCAAUAUGGGAAGGUUCUCAAAGUUUCUAUGUCUCGGACAGCAGCUGGUGUCAUCCAGCAGUUUCCGAACAAUACAUGUAGUGUAUAUAUUACAUACUCAAAAGAGGAGGAAGCUAUUCGUUGCAUUCAAAAUGUACAUGGAUUUGUUUUGGAGGGUCGAUCUUUGAGGGCGUGCUUUGGAACCACAAAGUAUUGUCAUGCAUGGCUGAGGAAUGUGCCUUGCACUAAUCCUGAUUGUCUGUAUUUGCAUGAGAUUGGUUCUCAAGAGGAUAGUUUCACCAAAGAUGAAAUUAUAUCAGCAUACACAAGGAGUAGAGUUCAACAAAUUACUGGUGCUGCAAACAAUGUACAACGGCGUUCAGGGAAUGUGUUGCCACCUCCUGUAGAUGAUUCUUGGAACAGCAGUUCUGGUUCCUCUGGAAAGCCUAUUGUGAAGAAUGGUUCUACUAAUUCUGGAAGUAUUAUUAAAGGUUCUCCUCCAAAUGGAGGCUCUGGUAGAUCUAUAGCUCUUCCAGCAGCGGCCUCAUGGGGAACACGUGGUUCAAAUUGCCAACCACCAGUUGCUAAUUUUACAUGUUCAAAUGGACCUUCUAAACAGAAACCUGACACUGUUAGUAGUCCAUUGGCAUUUUCAUCAGCAGUUGCAGGCACUACUCAGGCGUCUCUAUUGGAUAGUGAUGGAGGGAAGACGCAGUCAUUGAUUGAAGCAAGUCAGUAUGUGCAUGCUAAAGUUAAUCAAGAAUCAGUGAAGCCUGUGAGAGAGCUUAGUUUGGAUUGUCAAACAAAUUUGUCUGAAAAACCUGCUUCACUUGAUGGUGCUUCUGCUGCCAUAAAUUUGAGCAACCAGUUUUCAUGUUCACCAGUAUCGAAGGAUGAUGAUAGAGGCAUUAAUAUGGCUGCAAACAUUUCAAAUGCCACUGACCUAGAUGGGCAGUCUUGUACUUCUGUUCAUGAAAUAGAACAGAUAGUUACUACUGAUGAUCGGGUCCAGAAAUUAUGCUCUCAAGUUUCUUCGUUGAGCAUUGAUAGAAAUGGGAUGGAUGACCAUUCUGGAAUAACAAGGUUGAGUAAUUCAAUUUCUGAUAAUGCCCUUAUCAAAUCAUCACAGAAUCAAGAUUUGCAGCAAUAUUAUGCUGAUCAAUCUAGAGAACCUUCAUCAAUUACUCAGAAAACUGCUACAUCAACUAAUGGGGUUUACAUUUCAAGAGAUAAAUGUGAAUGGUUAUCAGAUUCACAAACACAAGCGGUGCCAAAUAUAUUUCCCGAGUUGGAAGAGGAUAUAAUAUCCUUUGAUAAUCAACGACUUAAAGAUCCUGAAGUUGUGAGUCAUAGUACUUAUUUGCCUAAUUCAGUUAAUGUACUCCAUAGUUCCAAUCACUUUAGGUCUCCUUCGCAGCAACGCGAGUCGUAUGGUGUAGCUAAUAUGAGUGCUGAUCAUCUAUACACGGAUAGCAAAGUUAGGGAUGGUUCAAUUCUAUCUGGCUCUAGUGUUUCAGCUACACCUAAUGGCUACCUUCGGAACUUGGCGGCUAGUUCUGCUUGUUCAGACCGAGCCUUAGAGAAUACCUUAAUGCAUCCAGAUGAGGGUUCUGGGAAAAACAUUGGAAGAUUCCUGGGUGAUGCAGCUGAUGUUGAAAUUGAUGCUGUUGUAGAUAAAAAAGGAGAAAGCAGCAUAAUCUCUAAUAUAUUAUCAUUGGAUUUUGAUUCCUGGGAUGAAUCGUUGACUUCACCUCAGAAUUUGGCUAAAUUGCUGGGUGAUAAUGAUAAGCAAACUGGAUCCCAUAAAAUUUCUAGUUCUUGGAAACCGCAAACUAAUAGUCAGUCCAGGUUCUCUUUUGCAAGGCAAGAGGAAUCUAUAAAUCAAGUAUUUGAUGUACAGCCAUCUCUUAAUGCCUUCAGUCAAUUGUCAAACAACCAUCCUUUCAGCCGUGAUUUGGCUGAAAACAGAGAUUUAUAUUCUGAUAAGCUUGGGAUCGGUAAUGGUUUCUUAUCCAGUAACUUUGAAGAAUCUGAAAUCCAUGCCAGUAAUCACUCAGCUUUCUCUUCUUCUAAGCUUUCUGCAGUUUCGAGAGCUCAAAUUUCAGCUCCACCUGGAUUUUCGGUGCCAAGCCGGGCACCACCCCCAGGAUUUGCAUCUCAUGAGAGGGUUGACCAGGCUUUUGAUACCCUAUCUGGAAACCGAUUGCUUGAUGCUACUAUGUUGAGAAAUGCAUAUCAACCGCAGGCAACUGCAAAUGUGGUUAACACUGCUGAUAUUGAGUUUAUGGAUCCUGCAAUACUGGCAGUUGGUAAAGGGAGGCUUCAAGGUGGGCUCAACAGCCCUGCCUUAGAAAUUAGAUCAAAUUUCCCUUCUCAAUUGAGCCCCUUUGAAAAUGAUGCUAGGCUUCAACUUCUGAUGCAAAGAUCCCUUGCCUCACAACAGAACCUAAGAUUUCCUGAUUUUGGAGAUAAUUUUUCUCAUCUCAGUGAUUCUUAUGGAAUUUCUUCUAGGCUUGUUGAUCAAUCUCCAGUGAAUAGUCUAUCUCCCUUUGCACAAAUGUCCCUCCAACAGUCUAGAAAUGGGAUGAUGUCAAAUGGCCACUGGGAUGGGUGGAAUGAGGUUCAAGGUGGGAGCACUUUGGGUAUGGCAGAGCUCAUGAGGAAUGAGAGACUGGGAUUCAACAAGUUCUAUGCUGGUUAUGAAGAUUCAAAGUUUCGGAUGCCCAGUUCAGGCGAUCUAUACAACAGAAACUUUGGGAUGUAAUUCAUGUAAUUUCAUUGGUUGGCAGUGAUGAAGGGAGAAAUCAAAGGGGUAUGUGUGGUUUUGUGACCUUGUACACAAGGAUGGAACUGACUCAUAACUUGUCUCUCUGGGCACAGCAUGAUGUAGGAUCGAACUCUGCAAAAAUAUGGUGUUUGGAAGCCUGCAGGUAAGGACGACUCUUAUUUAGUUUUUGGAUCUGGAUAGAUGUGAUGGCAACGGUUGGUUUUUAUGAGAGGCAUGAAUCAAAUUACUACAAGCACAGAUUAAUGGCUUGGAGAUUGCAUCUUUUGUGUACCAUAAGCAUUUUGAAGAAGAGAAUAGGGACUGAAGUUGAUGAGGUGAAGCUGUGAUCUAAAGGUGUGAUAUGAAAGAAUGUGUUGUGGAUUGCUGUAUAUCAUCUAACUUAGAGGCUGAUAAUCAAGAUGUCAAAUAUUAGCUCCUUGUUACAGAAGUUACUAAAAUCUGGUUGUUCUCACAACUAAAUAGAUGAAAUCUGACCCCUCUACUUUUUGUAGUUUUAUACUUACCUACCUCCAUAAUUUUGCCAGACAAGAGGUUGCUCUUAACUUGCUUUCUACCGGAUUUUUUUCUUAUACUGCUAUUAUCAUCUGGGAUGUCUCUCUUAUCGCUAAGCAUAUGCUUUAUAACGAGGAGCUCUCACCCCAGUUUGGUUUAUGAAAAAUGUGAUUACUAA